CCUCGGGCGGCAGCAGUGAGGAAUAUUUGUCAAUGGACGAGAGUCUUAACCAGCCAAGUAGCGUGAAGGAUGACUGCCCUAUAGGUUGUAAACUUCUUUUAUAAAGGAAUAAAACGAGGCACGUGUGCCUUUUUGCAUGUACUUUAUGAAUAAGGAUCGGCGAACGCCGUGCAAGCAGCCGCGGUAAUACGGAGGAGCCGAUCGUUAUCCGGAUUUAUUGGGUGUAAAGGGAGCGUAGAUGGGUUGUUAAGUCAGUAGUGAAAGUUUGCGGCUCAACCGUAAAAGUGCAAUGGAUACUGGCAGUCUUGAGUACAGAUGAGGUAGGCGGAAUGCGUGGUGUAGCGGUGAAAUGCUUAGAUAUCACGAAGAACCCCGAUUGCGAAGGCAGCUUACUAGACUGUGACUGACAUUGAUGCUCGAAAGUGUGGGUAUCAAACAGGAUUAGAUACCCUGGUAGUC
rnacentral:rRNA from 1 species